GGCUCAGGAUGAACGCUAGCGGAGGCUUAAUACAUGCAAGUCGAGCGGGAUUCUCCUUCGGGAGAUGAGAGCGGCGCACGGGUGAGUAACGCGUACGUAACCUGCCUUACAGAGGGGAAUAGCCCUGGGAAACUGGGAUUAAUACUCCAUAGUAUAUAGAUGGCGCAUGCUGUUUAUAUUAAAGUUGAGGCGCUGUAAGAUGGGCAUGCGUCUGAUUAGCUAGUUGGCGGUGUAACGGACCACCAAGGCGACGAUCAGUAGGGGUUCUGAGAGGAAGGUCCCCCACACUGGCACUGAGAUACGGGCCAGACUCCUACGGGAGGCAGCAGUAGGGAAUAUUGGGCAAUGGUCGGAAGACUGACCCAGCCAUGCCGCGUGCAGGAAGACGGCCCUCUGGGUUGUAAACUGCUUUUAUCUGGGAAGAAAAAGGCCAUGCGUGGCAAAUUGCCGGUACCAGAUGAAUAAGCACCGGCUAACUCCGUG
rnacentral:rRNA from 1 species